rnacentral:tRNA from 1 species
GGACCCGUAGCACAGCUUGGAUAGUGCGGACGCUUGCGGAGCGUCAGGUCGUGGGUUCGAGUCCCCCCGGGCCCGCCA